CGGGUGCACUGAUCCCAGCCGGGCCUUUCCCUCUGUGGAACCCCCAUGGCCUUCACUGGCUGUGGUGGGGAAACAGGACUUUUACUUUGAAAAAAUUAGAGUGCUCCAGGCAGGCCUAUGCUCGAAUACAUUAGCAUGGAAUAAUAGAAUAGGACGUGUGGUUCUAUUUUGUUGGUUUCUAGGACCGCCGUAAUGAUUAAUAGGGACAGUCGGGGGCAUCAGUAUUCAAUUGUCAGAGGUGAAAUUCUUGGAUCUAUUGAAGACUAACUACUGCGAAAGCAUUUGCCAAGGAUGUUUUCAUUGAUAAGGAACGAAAGUUAGGGGAUCGAAGACGAUCAGAUACCGUCGUAGUCUUAACUAUAAACUAUGCCGACUAGGGAUCGGACGAUGUUAUUCUUUGACGCGUUCGGCACCUUUCGAGAAAUCAAAGUGCUUGGGCUCCAGGGGGAGUAUGGUCGCAAGGCUGAAACUUAAAGAAAUUGACGGAAGGGCACCACCAGGGGUGGAACCUGCGGCUUAAUUUGACUCAACACGGGGAAACUCACCAGGUCCAGACACAGUGAGGAUUGACAGAUUGAGAGCUCUUUCUUGAUUCUGUGGGUGGUGGUGCAUGGCCGUUCUUAGUUGGUGGAGUGAUUUGUCUGCUUAAUUGCGAUAACGAACGAGACCUUAACCUGCUAAAUAGCCCGUACUGCUUUGGCAGUUCGCCGGCUUCUUAGAGGGACUAUCGG
rnacentral:rRNA from 1 species